AGAAGGUUGAAUUAUACAGAGUUGGAGAGCUGGCGACCAUGGUUUAUAGGGCAUAAGAUAGCAGGAUACACAGUUCAAUAUGAGCAUAAUCUACUAUUUGCUACAUUCAAGGGUGCUGGGCACACUGUUGCAGAAUACACACCUCACGAAUCACUGGUGGCCUUCCAAC